rnacentral:rRNA from 1 species
UACGUAGGGGGCUAGCGUUGUCCGGAAUCAUUGGGCGUAAAGCGCGUGUAGGCGGUCCGGUAAGUCCGCUGUGAAAGUCGGGGGGCUCAACCCUCGAAAGCCGGUGGAUACUGUCGGGCUAGAGUACGGAAGAGGCGAGUGGAAUUCCUGGUGUAGCGGUGAAAUGCGCAGAUAUCAGGAGGAACACCAAUUGCGAAGGCAGCUCGCUGGGACGUUACUGACGCUGAGGAGCGAACGACGUGGGGAG